UGAGGAAUAUUGGGCAAUGGACGCAAGUCUGACCCAGCCAUGCCACGUGCAGGAUGACGGCGCUAUGCGUUGUAAACUGCUUUUAUACAGGAAGAAACCCCCGAACGUGUUCGGGGUUGACGGUACUGUAAGAAUAAGCAUCGGCUAACUCCGUG
rnacentral:rRNA from 1 species